ACCCCGUAUAUAUAGUGCGUCCGUGCACUAUGCGGCAUCCUUCCUUCCUCCAUGACAUAAUGUAGCUGUCAUCGAGGUCGAGACUUGUUCUCAUUGCACAUCACUGAUCCCCAUUGUCUAUUGGCCAUCGCCCGGCUGCUUCUUCUUCUUCCUUGGCAGAAAAUAAACGAGUCUGGGCCUCCAAAUCUCUUGACCCUCGGCCCAAAAGGAAGCGUCUCGAGAAAACGAGGAAAGUCCAGCCCCAGCCUCUCCAGCAUGAUUCACAGCCCAACUGCUGAACUGCCUCAAGAAUCGUAGCCCCAGGCGACCCGGAGUGACCACGAGCGGGUCGACGUACUGCGAGAGAAUUAACAACGACACGGCAGGCAGCAUCAGCAUCUUUCGGGGCGAUCGACGAGAGGCACCAGGAGGUUCAGGCCUUCAGGGGGAAGCGGCUCUCAACGUCGGCGAGCGCCAGUCCUCGUGUCCAGGGCGACGCGCGCCACGCCGUGGUGCGCCAAUACCUCGGUCUCCACAGGGCGACAGCGCGCGCGCUGCACCAAACCAAUUAAACCGCAGCAGGCGCACGGGCAACCAAGCUCCCUCGAUUGGCCGAGCCCACGUACGGCCCAGCACGUGCGCUCACCGACUCCCCUGCCCGCCGCCGCUGUUCGUUCUCCCUUUCACCGCCACAUGCAGCGCGCGGUACGGACGGAUGGACGGAGCCCAGCGUCGCCGUACGUCCUCGGGCUGAAAGAAAGGCGUCGUUCCCAUUGGCUACGUGCAUCCUGAUCCGUCCUGUAAACGACACUUACCGGAUACCCUUACUCGUGCCAACACAGCUUGCUUGAAUCAUACCCGUACUCCAAAAUCGCCUGAACUUUCGGUUAUUAA